rnacentral:rRNA from 1 species
CCGGGCCUUGUACACACCGCCCGUCACACCAUGGGAGUGGGUUGCAAAAGAAGUAGGUAGCUUAACCUUCGGGAGGGCGCUUACCACUUUGUGAUUCAUGACUGGGGUGAAGUCGUAACAAGGUAACCGUAGGGGAACCUGCGGUUGGAUCACCUCCUUACCUUAAAGAAGC